rnacentral:ribozyme from 16 species
UUAUUUUAUUAUUUAUUAUUUUAUUAUUUUAUUUAUUAAUUAAAAAUGAAUAUAAAGAAUUUUAAAAGGCCAACAAUUUUUGUCUGCGUCAGAGAUAGGGUGGGGGUUGGUAUAUUGUUUCGGAAAACCCUCAACGAGGGCUUUUUGCACAUGUAU